UACCUGACACAGAGGAUGAUGAUACUCUGCAGUGAAGGCAUGCAUUCCGUAUAUUAAAGUCUAACAGAUCUGUUGAAUGCCAUUUCAUGCACUUCUGAAAUUUUCCGCAUAAUACGUAGUAGAAUGUAUGAACAGUAGUUUAUUAUGACUGUUGGCUACCAUGUGCCACCUUAAAAAUGAAGAAGGAUGUUGAAUGUAGUCCUCAGCUGGCAGAUGGUACCAUCGGUUUCAAAGCUGGAGAUGCGUUAGUCUGCUAUAAAAAAGAUAAAAGAAGAUGAAUAACAAUGGAUUAACUAGAAUCCAGGAUUUUGAUUGGUUGCAUGUGCUGUAAUGAAAUUCCCAUUUUAUCGUGUCAGAAACGCACACCAGAGAUUCCAAAAUUUGUCCUCCUUCAGAACAGUUUUCAGGAACAUACAUACCUAGUAAUUUUGAAGACAGUACUCAAAUUCAUGUUUGUCGUAGAAAUGUCUGUAAAUAACUGCGUACUAUUAUAGACAUUUGUAACCGGAGAUUUUGCUUGACAAGAGAUUCGUAUCAGCCUCAUGUAGUUGUAAAUUAGGGAACUGAUGUGGAUGUUCCUCAUUGAGCAUACAAAAUAUUUGGAGAAGCUAAAUUUAUUCUUGGUAUGCAGAAAAAGGUAAAUGUGGGGAUGGAAUGGAUUUUGCUAUUCACAAUAAUAGCUAGAAGCUGCACUCACAAAGUCACUACAUUGGCUUCAAUUGUUGUAGGAAAUAAAUGGUGAAAGUGAAGUUGCUGGUGCUUAUAGUAAGCAACGUUGCAUGUAGACAUAUUGGAGGGGUUUGGAGGUAAAGCUCCAUGCAUUCUUAACCUUGGCAAUAGAAGGAGGCGAGUGGUCUGGGGAAGCUGCCAGUUUACUGAAUUAGUUAGGAUGUUCCCUGGCCUUUGUAGAACCCAAAGAAUUCAUUACCAUGUUUGCAAGAGCAUAUCAACAGUCUGUAUUCUAAGGCAGAUGAAACUAAUUCACACUCACAAAAUAUUAUUUGGUGCAGUUUUGUAGAGCUUCCUGCUUCAUUCUUUUCCAUUGUAAUACAUUUUCCUGAUUCAGUGUUAAUACUGUUAGUUUCAAGGUUUUAAUGAAGAAAAGAAUGUAAAUAAUACACGGGCAGCUUUUGUAUAUGCUGUUCAGGAAAGAUAGCCUUAAAGUUAUGUAUGUAAAAUUUCUCACUUAUGUAGUAGCAGAAAAAUUCAUGUUUCUGUACUUCAGAAACAAGCUGAUGGAUGACUGAUUUGGUUAUCAAUAAUUUUGUAGAGACGUUUUCUGUACUUCUCUUCUGCAGAAUUUCCUGUGUCAGGUUUUGCCUUCUUGAUUUCCCUGGUUUUUGUAAGAGAAUUAAGAACAGUGUGUCAUGUUCAUUUUGCAUGUGACUUUGAAUUUCUCUUAUUUUGUGAAUAAAAUAUAUACCCAGACCUCCUGUCUGUAAUAUAUGAACCAAAAUGUAAGAAUUUGUGAACACAGAAAUGAAGGAUUUGAGCAGUAAUACCUGUUACUGUCAUGAAUAUACCUCACUACUAAAUGAAAGUCAGAAGUUCCAUCCAAUAUUAGGUGGUUCUUGAAUUUGUCUUGAAAUGUCACCCAGUAACACUUCAUGGAGGGCUUUUAACAAAUCAUUUUGAAUGGCCAGUGAAGUGCCUUUGAAAUCAGUGGUGAUUCAGCAGAGGAUCAUAAUGUUCUAGCAGUUUGAAAGAUUCUGUACAAUUAUUUCUGUCAAGGGGCAACUCGGAUUAUUCAUGACCUCUAAAUGGCAGUUCUUGAUCUGGCAGCAGGCAAGUCAUGUGACCCAUUUCAAUAUUUCUUAAUUUUUAUAAACUCCUUUAUUAUAUUCUGAACUACUAAAUGUAAGUUGAAUAUCCAGAAGCUCAUAAUUUCUUUGGAGACUUUAAUAAAGAAUGACCAGUGUGUACUGGACAUGUUUUGCGGAAGAUUCAUGUUUUUCUUUUCUUUUCAUGAAGCACAUAAGUCAUAAGUUUGAUAUUCAAAAUAUUUCAACUUUUUUGAAACAUCAAGCAUUGCCAGCAAAUCAGUUUUUCUCAGAUUGUUGCAAGCUGUAAACCAUGGGUAAAAAUGGUAUUGCAAAACAAAAGUUCCCAGUGAACAUUUUGUUUUCUUUAUAUUCACUCUUAGGGUUUUAUAUAGGUUGGCAGUGUCUCCCAUAUUUUAAUAUUUUUAGGAUGCCAAAAAUAAUAUUCUUAAAACAAAGGGACUAAUUUUCUCUCUUUAUAAGAAUCUUUCAUGAAAGGAAAAGUACUUGCACAGUACACAGCUAAACUGAUCUUGGUGAGGACCACACAGUCUACCCAUGUUUAAAGGGCAAAUUCUCGCUGUUUCCUUCGCUGUGAAGCACGCAUGAAUGAAAAGACUGGAAACUCUGGUCCAGUGAUGAAACUACUUGCUCGUCUGUUGCCUGCGAACCUGAUCAAAUGUUGUAGCAGGUAAGCUGCAUAACUGAUAAGGCCACCUCCAAGCAAAAAGUAAUGCUUGUGUGGAAUGGAGAAGAGAAAACCACAUAUUCCUCCAAAUUUAGUGGACUGGUGGCACACUACUAGCCAGACCGCUGAGGACAAUACCCCUAUCCAUUUCACAUUCCUGCAAUUAUCGUGAAAUAAGAAAAUGGUGUAUGUUAAUGUCUUGCUGCUCAAACACUCCUUAAGAAGUAUACUUACAAUUACUGUUCUCCACUACUGCCAUCAUCAGCUGAUUUGACAUGGUCAGGAUUGCUGUCACAUGAGUGGUCAUCCUCUGUGCCAUCAACUUCUUAAAACUCUUUUUUCAAGUUAAUACAGGCAGCAUGAAUGCCCGUGCACUUUUUAUCAACAUGCAAAACUGUUAAGUGUUGAGUCACUUGAUUUUCAUUGUUGGUGUGAAUGAAUGCUUUCAAAAAUUCAACCAUCACUUGUUCCGUCUUUCAUUGCAGCUUCAAAUGGCUUAUGUAUAGAUGCAGCAUGCAUGUCCAUUUCUCCAUGGAUGACAACUUGAUUUAUAUUUCUGAUUCUUCCGUCAUAUGCGAAAAGUACCUGUGUACACUGAAGUUGUGCUUGGCUUGGCUUGGCUUGUGGGAAUGUGAAUAUGGAGGCAGUAUGUACCUUUGAAAUGGUGGUAACCACCUAUAAGACUACACGUUGUUGUAGUCCAGAAGACCACCACCAGAUCUCUCAUUGAUGUGAAGACCUCGGAUAUCACGUAGCUGAUGUGUAAAUCACCAAAAGGACUGAGGAACCAAAACUUUUGAAAUGUAAUGGAAAAUUAAAGUACUGAAAUACAAAUAUAUUGUCUAUAUGUCACAGGAUGGCUUACCACAGGCCCUGUCAUUGUCAUCUUGUCCAUCAUGACUCAUGCAUUCGGUGUUGUGUUAGCAGUUGAAGCAGACAUGUGCUCUGGGUGUGUAGGUGUGUCACAGGCCAGACAGGGCAAUUGGCUGUGGCUAAACUGAUGAGUGACAGAGAUCCUGAAAGCACGAAUCCGGAAUUUCGAUAAUAUGUUGCCAGCGACUUCAUAGGUGGCCGGGGUUUGUUUCUGUCUGUUUCGAUGUGGGUGAAAGCAUCAACCAAGUUGCUAUUUGAUUACAUGGUUUGGCUGAGAUGGUUGUGUGAAGAUGUCAUGUCAUGUAUAACUCAUAUAUGCGGAACAUCGUUACAGCGCAUUUUUAGUACCGUUUUACAUCUCGUAGUCAGUCCAUUCACGAUUAGUGUGCCUUUCUCAAACCCAUUUGUUGUAAACUUUUUGGACACCCGAAGGCAGGUACGAGCUCCAAAGGGUUUUAUACAAAGGCACUGUGACUGGCCAUUUCGACACAGGUUUUCCUUCGUCUUUAAACAAAUGCUCAGACGGUUCCCAAGCUCAUGGUUGCUACUGCAUGAAUCACAUGCAGCCCUCCCGAGUUAUAUAAUCAAAUUUACCCCCUUACUAUGAAGGUCACUAAAUUACCACAAAUUAUAAUCACAACAUUCAUAAAUAAAUGAAUAAAAUAUUCUACUGUCUUUGUUA